AGUGAACGCUGGCGGUAGGCCUAACACAUGCAAGUCGAACGGCAGCACAGAGGAGCUUGCUCCUUGGGUGGCGAGUGGCGGACGGGUGAGGAAUACAUCGGAAUCUACUCUGUCGUGGGGGGAAACGUAGGGAAACUUACGCUAAUACCGCAUACGACCUACGGGAGAAAGCAGGGGCCCUUCGGGCCUUGCGCGAUCGCAUGCGCCGAUGUCGGAUUAGCUAGUUGGCGGGGUAAAGGCCCACCAAGGCGACGAUCCGUAGCUGGUCUGAGAGGAUGAUCAGCCACACUGGAACUGAGACACGGUCCAGACUCCUACGGGAGGCAGCAGUGGGGAAUAUUGGACAAUGGGCGCAAGCCUGAUCCAGCCAUACCGCGUGGGUGAAGAAGGCCUUCGGGUUGUAAAGCCCUUUUGUUGGGAAAGAAAUCCAGCUGGCUAAUACCCGGUUGGGAUGACGGUACCCAAAGAAUAAGCACCGGCUAACUUCGUGCCAGCAGCCGCCGUAA
rnacentral:rRNA from 1 species